UUCAUGAUGACACUCUAUAUCAUUGCAUAGUUCACACUGAAACUAUCGUGUUGAAAAACAAGCAUCUGUCUUUCGCUCCUAUCUGA
rnacentral:snoRNA from 1 species